UAAACAUUGAUACAUUAUUACAUUUUCAAUCCGCCCGGGUACUACAAGCACUAGCUUAAAACCCAAAGGACUUGGCGGUGCUUAAGAUCCCUCUAGAGGAGCCUGUUCUAGAACCGAUAAUCCACGUUUAACCUCACCCUCCCUUGUUUUUUCCGCCUAUAUACCGCCGUCGUCAGCUUACCCCGUGAAGGUCUAACAGUGAGCAAAAAUGGCAUAGCCCAAAACGUCAGGUCGAGGUGUAGCGCAUGAGAGGGGAAGAAAUGGGCUACAUUCUCUAAAAAUAGAAGCACACGGAUAAUAUAUUGAAACAUAUAUUUUAAGGAGGAUUUAGCAGUAAGUAGAAAUUAGAAUAUUCCACUGAAUCCGGCCCUAAAGCGCGCACACACCGCCCGUCACUCUCCCCUAGUCUAAAAAAAUUUUACAUUUAAUAAUAGAUACUAUCAGCAAAGGGGAGGCAAGUCGUAACAUGGUAAGUGUACCGGAAGGUGUACUUGGAUAAAU
rnacentral:rRNA from 1 species